rnacentral:rRNA from 1 species
CACGUAGGGGGCGAGCGUUAUCCGGAUUCAUUGGGCGUAAAGCGCGCGCAGGCGGCCGACUAAGCGGGACCUCUAAUCCCGGGGCUCAACCCCGGGCCGGGUCCCGAACUGGUCGGCUCGGGUGCGGUAGGGGUAGGCGGAAUUCCCGGUGUAGCGGUGGAAUGCGCAGAUAUCGGGAGGAACACCGACGGCGAAGGCAGCCUACUGGGCCGUCACCGACGCUGAGGCGCGAAAGCCGGGGGAGCGAACA